rnacentral:rRNA from 1 species
GACGAACGCUGGCGGCGUGCUUAACACAUGCAAGUCGAACGGAAAGGCCCUGCUUUUGUGGGGUGCUCGAGUGGCGAACGGGUGAGUAACACGUGAGUAACCUGCCCUUGACUUUGGGAUAACUUCAGGAAACUGGGGCUAAUACCGGAUAGGAGCUCCUGCUGCAUGGUGGGGGUUGGAAAGUUUAGGCGGUUGGGGAUGGACUCGCGGCUUAUCAGCUGGUUGGUGGGGUAGUGGCUUACCAAGGCUUUGACGGGUAGCCGGCCUGAGAGGGUGACCGGCCACAUUGGGACUGAGAUACGGCCCAGACUCCUGCGGGAGGCAGCAGUGGGGAAGAUUGCACGAUGGGCGGAAGCCUGAUGCAGCAACGCCGCGUGCGGGAUGACAGCCUUCGUGUGGUAGACCGCUUUCGCCUGUGACGAAGCGUGAGUGACGGUAAUGGGUAAAGAAGCACCGGCUAACUACGUG